rnacentral:rRNA from 1 species
GCUUGUCUCAAAGAUUAAGCCAUGCAUGUCUAAGUAUAAACAAAUCUAUACUGUGAAACUGCGAAUGGCUCAUUAUAUCAGUUAUAGUUUAUUUGAUGGUCCUUGCUACUUGGAUAACCGUAGUAAUUCUAGAGCUAAUACAUGCAUCAAACCCCGACUUCUGGAAGGGGUGUAUUUAUUAGAUUGAAACCAAUGCGGGUUCCCCGGUAUUUGGUGAUUCAUAAUAACUUUCGGAUCGACUUCGGUCGAUGCAUCAUUCAAGUUUCUGCCCUAUCAGCUUUGGAUGGUAGGGUAUUGGCCUACCAUGGCUUUAACGGGUAACGGAGAAUUAGGGUUCGAUUCCGGAGAGGGAGCCUGAGAAACGGCUACCACAUCCAAGGAAGGCAGCAGG